rnacentral:pre_miRNA from 14 species
GUUUGACUCUGAAAGACCCCCAGAGUGGGGAGACCCUCACUCAAGUCUCGGGAUGACGCGACCCUCCAAGAACUCACGUAAGACC